rnacentral:rRNA from 1 species
UGGGGAAUUUUGGACAAUGGGGGAAACCCUGAUCCAGCCAUCCCGCGUGUGCGAUGAAGGCCUUCGGGUUGUAAAGCACUUUUGGCAGGAAAGAAACGUCGCGGGUUAAUACCCCGCGGAACUGACGGUACCUGCAGAAUAAGCACCGGCUAACUACGUGCCAGCAGCCGCGGUAAUACGUAGGGUGCAAGCGUUAAUCGGAAUUACUGGGCGUAAAGCGUGCGCAGGCGGUUCGGAAAGAAAGAUGUGAAAUCCCAGAGCUUAACUUUGGAACUGCAUUUUUAACUACCGGGCUAGAGUGUGUCAGAGGGAGGUGGAAUUCCGCGUGUAGCAGUGAAAUGCGUAGAUAUGCGGAGGAACACCGAUGGCGAAGGCAGCCUCCUGGGAUAACACUGACGCUCAUGCACGAAAGCGUGGGGAGCAAACAGGAUUAGAUACCCUGGUAGUCCACGCCCUAAACGAUGUCAACUAGCUGUUGGGGUCUUCGGACCUUGGUAGCGCAGCUAACGCGUGAAGUUGACCGCCUGGGGAGUACGGUCGCAAGAUUAAAACUUAAAGGAAUUGAC